rnacentral:rRNA from 1 species
UACGUAGGGGGGCAGUGUCGUUCGAUCCGAUUUGUGGCGUAAAGAGCGUGUAGGCGGCUCGGUAGGUCUGCUGUGAAAACUCGAGGCUCAACCUCGAGACGUCGGCGGAAACCAUCUGGCUAGAGUCCGGAAGAGGAGAGUGGAAUUCCUGGUGUAGCGGUGAAAUGCGCAGAUAUCAGGAAGAACACCCGUGGCGAAGGCGGCUCUCUGGGGACGGUACUGACGCUGAGACGCGAAAGCGUGGGGAGCAAACAGG